AGAGCUAUAAUCAAAUAAAUAAUAUUGAUGAUUUUACUUUUAAAUCCACCUUAAAAUCAUUAUUUCAAAUAAUUUAACGUAUAAAUAAAUUUAUUGUAACCCAUCUCUACUAAAAAAUAAACUGCACCUUGACCUGACAUCAAUUAUAAUAAUAAAUUAAGAAAAUUAUUCCUCUUUUAAGAUAUUCUGAUAACGGCGAUAUACAAAUUGAAAACAAACUUUAGUAAGGUCCAACGUGGAUUAUCGAUUACAGGACAAGUUCCUCUAAAUAGACUAAAACACCGCCAAAUUCUUUAAGUUUGAAGACCAUAUCUAUUACUACUCAAGUAUUUAACUUUACACUUUAAAUAAUAGGGUAUCUAAUCCUAGUUUAUAAUUAAAAUUUCCUAGCUUCAUUAAUAAAUAUUAUAAAAUUAAUUAAAUUUAAAAUUUCACUUAAAAAAUUUAAAUUAAUUUUAAUUAUUCUACAAACUAACUAUUACUAAUCAAUCUUAUUUGCAUUAUUUG
rnacentral:rRNA from 1 species